rnacentral:rRNA from 1 species
CAAGUGAGAAUGCCGGUAUGAGUAACGAAAAGACAGGUGAGAAUCCUGUCCGCCGAAAGCCUAAGGGUUCCUGGGGUAGGUUCGUCCGCCCAGGGUAAGUCGGGACCUAAGGCGAGGCCGAAAGGCGUAGUCGAUGGACAACAGGUUGAAAUUCCUGUACCACCGUAAUCCGUUAUGAGCGAUGGGGGGACGCAGGAGGGAAGCGACGCGAGCCGAUGGAUGUGCUCGUCCAAGCCCAAAGAGGGGUGUGCAGGCAAAUCCGCACACUGUAACCUUGAAGGGUGAUGGGGAGGGAAAAUCACAGUACCGAAGGUCGUGUACCCACGCUGCCAAGAAAAGCCUCUAGCCAGGAGAAGGUGCCCGUACCGUAAACCGACACAGGUGGGCGAGAUGAGAAUUCUAAGGCGCGCGGAAGAACUCUCGUUAAGGAACUCGGCAAAAUGACCCCGUAACUUCGGGAGAAGGGGUGCCCCGGUAGUGUGAAUAGCACGAGGGGGCCGCAGUGAAGAGGCCCAAGCGACUGUUUAGCAAAAACACAGGUCUGUGCGAAGCCGUAAGGCGAAGUAUACGGGCUGACGCCUGCCCGGUGCUGGAAGGUUAAGGGGAGUGGUUAGGGGUAACCCGAAGCUGUGAACCGAAGCCCCAGUAAACGGCGGCCGUAACUAUAACGGUCCUAAGGUAGCGAAAUUCCUUGUCAGGUAAAUUCUGACCCGCACGAAUGGCGUAACGACUUGGGCGCUGUCUCAACGAGAGAUCCGGUGAAAUUUUAGUACCUGUGAAGAUGCAGGUUACCCGCGACGUGACGGAAAGACCCCAUGGAGCUUUACUGUAGCUUGAUAUUGAACUUUGGUACGGUCUGUACAGGAUAGGUGGGAGCCUAUGAAGCGGGGGCGCAAGCCUCUGUGGAGGCGCCGUUGGGAUACCACCCUGAUCGUAUCGGAGUUCUAACCUGCUGCCCUGAAUCGGGCAGAGGGACCGUGUCAGGCGGACAGUUUGACUGGGGCGGUCGCCUCCUAAAAAGUAACGGAGGCGCUCUAAGGUUCCCUCAGCGCGGUUGGAAAUCGCGCGAAGAGUGCAAAGGCAUAAGGGAGCUUGACUGCGAGACCUACAAGUCGAGCAGGGAGGAAACUCGGACUUAGUGAUCCGGUGGUACCGAAUGGAAGGGCCAUCGCUCAACGGAUAAAAGCUACCCUGGGGAUAACAGGCUUAUCUCCCCCAAGAGUCCACAUCGACGGGGAGGUUUGGCACCUCGAUGUCGGCUCAUCGCAUCCUGGGGCUGAAGUAGGUCCCAAGGGUUGGGCUGUUCGCCCAUUAAAGCGGUACGCGAGCUGGGUUCAGAACGUCGUGAGACAGUUCGGUCCCUAUCUGUCGCGGGCGUAGGAAAUUUGAGAGGGGCUGUCCUUAGUACGAGAGGACCGGGAUGGACGCACCGCUGGUGUACCAGUUGUUCCGCCAGGAGCACCGCUGGGUAGCCAAGUGCGGAAGGGAUAAGCGCUGAAAGCAUCUAAGCGCGAAGCCUGCCUCAAGAUGAGAUUUCCCAAUUCGUAAGACCCCUGGAAGAACACCAGGUUGAUAGGCUCGGGGUGGAAGCGCAGCAAUGUGUGGAGCUGACGAGUACUAAUCGGUCGAGGGCUUAUCCUAACGAAUGACACGACAAAGCAAGACACUUCACCUUCUUCUUCGCUCCACUUGGUUCGCAUCCAGUUUUCAAGGCGUAAGCC